rnacentral:rRNA from 1 species
UACGUAGGGUGCAAGCGUUAAUCGGAAUUACUGGGCGUAAAGCGUGCGCAGGCGGCUUUGCAAGACAGAUGUGAAAUCCCCGGGCUUAACCUGGGAACUGCAUUUGUGACUGCAUGGCUGGAGUGCGGCAGAGGGGGAUGGAAUUCCGGCGUGUAGCAGUGAAAUGCGUAGAUAUGCGGAGGAACACCGAUGGCGAAGGCAGCCUCCUGGGCCAACACUGACGCUCAUGCACGAAAGCGUGGGGAGCAAACAGG